AACGAACGCUGGCGGCAUGCCUAACACAUGCAAGUCGAACGAGACCUUCGGGUCUAGUGGCGCACGGGUGCGUAACGCGUGGGAACCUGCCCUUAGGUUCGGAAUAACCCCCCGAAAGGGGUGCUAAUACCGGAUAAUGUCUUCGGACCAAAGAUUUAUCGCCUUUGGAUGGGCCCGCGUUGGAUUAGCUAGUUGGCAGGGUAAAAGCCUACCAAGGCGACGAUCCAUAGCUGGUCUGAGAGGAUGAUCAGCCACACUGGGACUGAGACACGGCCCAGACUCCUACGGGAGGCAGCAGUGGGGAAUAUUGGACAAUGGGCGAAAGCCUGAUCCAGCAAUGCCGCGUGAGUGAUGAAGGCCUUAGGGUUGUAAAGCUCUUUUACCCGGGAUGAUAAUGACAGUACCGGGAGAAUAAGCUCCGGCUAACUCCGUG
rnacentral:rRNA from 1 species